rnacentral:rRNA from 1 species
GCGAAAACUUUACAAUGCUGGCAACAGCGAUAAGGGAACCUCGAGUGCCAGGUUACAAAUCUGGCUGUCGAGAUGCCUAAAAAGCAUUUCAUAGCAAGGGCCGGGCAAGCCCGGUGCCAGCCGCCGCGGUAACACCGGCGGCUCGAGUGGUAACCGUUAUUAUUGGGUCUAAAGGGUCUGUAGCCGGCCGGAUAAGUCUCUUGAGAAAUCUGGCAGCUUAACUGUCAGGCUUUCAGGAGAUACUGUCUGGCUCGAGGCCGGGAGGGGUGAGAAGUACUUCGGGGGUAGGGGUGAAAUCUUGUAAUCCUUGAAGGACCACCAGUGGCGAAGGCGUCUCACCAGAACGGACCUGACGGCAAGGGACGAAAGCUAGGGGCACGAACC